rnacentral:tRNA from 1 species
GCCACCAUAGCUCAGUUGGUAGAGCAACUGAUUCGUAAUCAGUAGGUCACCGGUUCGAUUCCGGUUGGUGGCU